rnacentral:rRNA from 1 species
AUUGAACGCUGGCGGCAUGCCUUACACAUGCAAGUCGAACGGCAGCACAGGAGCUUGCUCCGGGUGGCGAGUGGCGAACGGGUGAGUAAUGCAUCGGAACAUGCCCAUCAGAGGGGGAUAACGUAGCGAAAGUUACGCUAAUACCGCAUAGUCUCUGAGGAGUAAAGCGGGGGACCGUAAGACCUCGCGCUGAUGGAAUGGCCGAUGUCGGAUUAGCUAGUUGGUGAGGUAACGGCUCACCAAGGCGACGAUCAGUAGGGGGUCUGAGAGGAUGUCCCCCCACACUGGUACUGAGACACGGACCAGACUCCUACGGGAGGCAGCAGUAGGGAAUAUUGGUCAAUGGGGGCAACCCUGAACCAGCCAUGCCGCGUGCAGGAUUAAGGCCCUAUGGGUCGUAAACUGCUUUUGUACGGGAAGAAAUCACGCUACGUGUAGCGUGUUGACGGUACCGUGAGAAUAAGGAUCGGCUAACUUCGUGCCAGCCGCCGCAGUAACAC